rnacentral:rRNA from 1 species
CCUACGGGAGGCUGCAGUGGGGAAUAUUGCACAAUGGGGGAAACCCUGAUGCAGCGACGCCGCGUGGGGGAAUGAAGGUCUUCGGAUUGUAAACCCCUGUCAUGUGGGAGCAAAUUAAAAAGAUAGUACCACAAGAGGACGAGACGGCUAACUCUGUGCCAGCAGCCGCGGUAAUACAGAGGUCUCAAGCGUUGUUCGGAAUCACUGGGCGUAAGGCGGGCGUAGGCUGUUUCGUAAGUCGUGUGUGAAAGGCGCGGGCUCAACCCGCGGACGGCACAUGAUACUGCGAGACUAGAGUAAUGGAGGGGGAACCGGAAUUCUCGGUGUAGCAGUGAAAUGCGUAGAUAUCGAGAGGAACACUCGUGGUGAAGGCGGGUUCCUGGACAUUAACUGACGCUGAGGCACGAAGGCCAGGGGAGCGAAAGGGAUUAGAUACCCGUGUAGUC